rnacentral:rRNA from 1 species
GAGUUUGAUCCUGGCUCAGAACGAACGCUGGCGGCGUGCUUAACACAUGCAAGUCAGGGAGAAAGUCUCUUCGGGGAUGAUUAAACCGGCGCGCGGGUGAGUAACACGUGAGUGACCUGCCUUUUAGACUGGAACAACUUACCGAAAGGUGAGCUAAUGCCGGAUGAGUUAUAUAAGUGCAUGUUUAUAUAGGAAAAGUUGGGGAGACCUGACGCUGAAAGAUGGACUCGCGUCCCAUUAGCUAGUUGGUAGGGUAAUGGCCUACCAAGGCGACGAUGGGUAGCCGGCCUGAGAGGGUGGCCGGCCACACUGGGACUGAGACACGGCCCAGACUCCUACGGGAGGCAGCAGUGGGGAAUUUUGCGCAAUGCUCGUAAGAGUGACGCAGCGACGCCGCGUGAAUGACGAAGGCCUUCGGGUCGUAAAGUUCUUUCGACAGGGAAGAAAAUGCCUAUAAGUAACUGUGUAUGUAUUGACGGUACCUGUAUAAGCAGCCCCGGCUAACUCCGUGCCAGCAGCCGCGGUAAUACGGAGGGGGCGAGCGUUGUUCGGAGUGACUGGGCGUAAAGAGCACGUAGGCGGUGUUGUAAGUCAUUAGUCAAAGACUAGAGCUCAACUUUAGUAAGGCUAGUGAUACUAUAAUACUAGAGUAUCAGAGAGGAUUGCAGAAUUCCUGGUGUAGCGGUGAAAUGCGUAGAUAUCAGGAGGAAUACCGUUAGCG